GCUAACUCCGUGCCAGCAGCCGCGGUAAUACGGAGGAUCCAAGCGUUAUCCGGAAUCAUUGGGUUUAAAGGGUUCGUAGGCGGUUGAAUAAGUCAGUGGUGAAAUCUCCUAGCUUAACUAGGAAAUGGCCAUUGAUACUGUUUGACUUGAAUUAUUGGGAAGUAACUAGAAUAUGUAGUGUAGCGGUGAAAUGCUUAGAUAUUACAUGGAAUACCAAUUGCGAAGGCAGGUUACUAUCAAUACAUUGACGCUGAUGAACGAAAGCGUGGGUAGCGAACAGGAUUAGAUACCCUGGUAGUCCACGCCGUAAACGAUGGAUACUAGCUGUUCGACCGCAAGGUUGAGUGGCUAAGCGAAAGUGAUAAGUAUCCCACCUGGGGAGUACGUUCGCAAGAAUGAAACUCAAAGGAAUUGACGGGGGCCCGCACAAGCGGUGGAGCAUGUGGUUUAGUUCGAUGAUACGCGAGGAACCUUACCAGGGCUUAAAUG
rnacentral:rRNA from 1 species